rnacentral:pre_miRNA from 14 species
UCUUUGGAGUCUGGGGUGGUCACGAAGAUCCCGCACGAGCCCCCAAAUGAAAGAUCCCAUGCAGAGACCCUUACUCAAGUCUUGGGAAAUCGUGGGCCCCAGACACAAAGAGACCA